rnacentral:rRNA from 1 species
ACAGAGGUGCCAAGCGUUAGGCGGAAUCACUGGGCUUAAAGCGUGUGUAGGUGGAUGUCUAAGUACCUUGUGAAAUCCCACAGCUCAACUGUGGAACUGCUUGGUAUACUGGAUGUCUUGAGCCACUUAGGGGCUACCGGAACAAAUGGUGGAGCGGUGAAAUGCGUAGAUAUCAAGAGGAACACCUGAGGUGAAGACGGGUUGCUGGGCCAACACUGACGCUGAGGCGCGAAAGCCAGGGGAGCAAACGGGA